AGGCAGAGGGAGGAGGAGGCUAACUUUCUUGGGCUCUAACCUUACCCUGGGCACAGUGCUGGGUGCGGGGAUUCUGGCUUCUCCGUUCAUCUCAGCAGGCGUCCUGGUUGCAAGCAACGGAAAAUACUCUAACUUAGAGAGCUGGGAAACCAGCAUGGGAAACAGGAAAGAACCACAGCGAAGGCCACACCCACAGCGUCCCAGGACACGUCCUCCACCCACCCCCGUCACUGGUGGCUGCAGGGCCCUGCACUGGGCCCCAGUUCCCCUCUGGGCCUCGCUCAGGGUGAAGGCUAAACCAAGGUCACUGCCAGGGCCUGGCCACUGCAAGAGCAGGGAGGCCUCUCACUGUUGUGGCCUCUCCCGUCGCGGAGCACAGGCUCCGGACGUGCAGGCUCCGGACACGCAGGCUCAGCGGCCACGGCUCACGGGCCCAGCCACCCCGCGGCAUGUGGGAUCCUCCCGGACUGGGGCACGAACCCGUGUCCCCUGCAUCGGCAGGCGGGCUCUCCACUGUGCCACCAGGGAAGCCCUGUAACAUCCAUUUUUGACGGCUGUGAAAUAUUUCGUUAAAUGUUUGUGACAUGGUCCAAUUAAGCUGUUCUCUGUUGCUGAAUAUUUAGGUUAUUUUCAAUUUCUACUUAAUGCUGCAAUAAGCAUUUUGUUCUCCCCUGUUGAUGAUUAGGCCCUCAAGUUAGAUUCCCACGAGUGGAAUGAUUGGCUCAAAAGAUAUAAACAUUUUGAGGUUCCUGAUA